rnacentral:rRNA from 1 species
UACGUAGGGGGCAAGCGUUGUCCGGAAUCAUUGGGCGUAAAGCGCGUGUAGGCGGCUUGGUAAGUCUGCUCUGAAAGCCCGGGGCUCAACCCCGGGAGGCGGGUGGAUACUGUCAAGCUCGAGUCCGGAAGAGGAGUGUGGAAUUCCUGGUGUAGCGGUGAAAUGCGCAGAUAUCAGGAGGAACACCGGUGGCGAAGGCGGCUUGCUGGGCCAGUUCUGACGCUGAGGAGCGAAAGCGUGGGGAGCGAACAGG